rnacentral:rRNA from 1 species
UAGGGAAUAUUGGGCAAUGGAGGGAACUCUGACCCAGCCAUGCCGCGUGCAGGAUGAAGGCGUUAUGCGUUGUAAACUGCUUUUAUAUAGGAAGAAAUAGUCCUUGCGAGGAAAGUUGACGGUACUAUAUGAAUAAGCACCGGCUAACUCCGUGCCAGCAGCCGCGGUAAUACGGAGGGUGCAAGCGUUGUCCGGAUUUAUUGGGUUUAAAGGGUGCGUAGGCGGUUUAUUAAGUCAGUGGUGAAAGACGGUCGCUCAACGAUUGCAGUGCCAUUGGUACUGGUAGACUUGAGUAUGAUUGAGGUAGCUGGAAUGGAUAGUGUAGCGGUGAAAUGCAUAGAUAUUAUCCAGAACACCAAUUGCGUAGGCAAGUUACUAAGUCAUAACUGACGCUGAGGCACGAAAGUGUGGGUAUCAAACAGGAUUAGAUACCCGUGUAGUCCCUGAGCGGGCUGGCAAGGCGCAU